UGGGGAAUCUUCCGCAAUGGACGAAAGUCUGACGGAGCAACGCCGCGUGAGUGAUGACGGCCUUCGGGUUGUAAAGCUCUGUUAAUCGGGACGAAAGGUCUUCUUGCGAAUAGUUAGAAGAAUUGACGGUACCGGAAUAGAAAGCCACGGCUAACUACGUGCCAGCAGCCGCGGUAAUACGUAGGUGGUAAGCGUUGUCCGGAAUUAUUGGGCGUAAAGCGCGCGCAGGCGGUCUGUUAGGUCGGGAGUUAAAUCCGGGGGCUCAACCCCCGUUCGCUCCCGAUACCGGCAGACUUGAGUUUGGUAGGGGAAGGUGGAAUUCCUAGUGUAGCGGUGGAAUGCGCAGAUAUUAGGAAGAACACCAGUGGCGAAGGCGGCCUUCUGGGCCAUAACUGACGCUGAGGAGCGAAAGCUAGGGGAGCAAACAGGAUUAGAUACCCUGGUAGUCCUAGCCGUAAACGAUGGACACCAGGUGUGGGGGGAAUAUUUCUUCCGUGCCGCAGCUAACGCAUUAAGUGUCCCGCCUGGGGAGUACGGCCGCAAGGCUA
rnacentral:rRNA from 1 species